rnacentral:rRNA from 1 species
UGGUCCUAGCCUUGAAGUCAGUUUUUACCUUACUUAUACAUGCAAGUCUCCGCACCCCUGUGAAAACGCCCUUAAAUUCCUUUCAGGAAUAAGGAGCUGGUAUCAGGCACAACACUUAGCCCAAGACACCUAGCUAUGCCACACCCACAAGGGCCCUCAGCAGUAAUUAACAUUGAACAUAAGCGCCAGCUUGAUUCAGUUAAAGUAAAAAGGGCAGGCAAAUUUGGUGCCAGCCGCCGCGGUUACACCAUGUGGCCCAAAUUGACUUCUUUCGGCGUAAAGAGUGAUUAAAGUAAAACCACACUGUAGUCAAACUAAAAUUAAGUCGUGACAAACUUAUGUUUGGGAGGCUCAAAAACGAAAGUUACUACACCCAAAACAACUUGAACUCACAAUAGCUAAGAAACAAACUAGGAUUAGAGACCCUACUAUGCUUAGCCACAAACUUUUAAUUACACCCCAAACGCCA